rnacentral:rRNA from 1 species
ACAUGCAUACAACGUAGCAUUAAUGUACCAGAUCUCAUUAGAACUCUGUAGUUAAGCGCGCUCAAGCUAGAGUAGUACUGGGAUGGGUGACCGCCUGUGAAGUCCUAGUGUUUUACAUGCC